UCAAACCAUCGUACUGCCCACCCAAACACUCUCUACCUCAUUCUCCCUUACUCUCGUCUCUGAACCCUCACUGCUAAGCCACCACCGUUCUCCUCGUCGCCGGUCCAACAGUCCUCCGACAACCUCAUUCUCCCUCACUCCCUUCCUCACUCUCCCUCACACUCCGUCGGCCUUGCCUUCUGCCGCUGACACCACCAUCGCCAGCAACACAGCCACCGCGGCCAUCCUCAGACUCCUUCCCUCCCUCAUCACUGUCUUUUCAUUUAGUUGAUUUGAAUCUCUCUUUCAGUGUUGGGCUUAAAAUUUUGAACUUUGACAGUGUGACUCAGAGAAGUUAGUUAAGGUGUUAUUUGACAGAUGGAUGCUAUCAUUAGUCAACGUGGUGAUGAAGGAUGUAGUGAGCAUUAAGCAAGUAGGCAUUUGAAAACUGAGCUACUCAUACAGGCAAAGAUGAAACGACUUAUGACAGAGGGGUCACAGUUGCAGGGAAACGACAUUGAGGCUGGCAUACUUUGGCAGCCCAACGAUGCAUUUGGAUAGGUCAUCGAUGCAAAGAGAGGUGACCGUGUCAGAGGGCUAGGCUUUGGUCCAACCCCUUCUGGCAAUCGUGCGAGGUCAAUGGAUGACAGUACGCCACCUCCAACAUCUACUGCAACCGACCAAAGGGUUAUAGAGUUGUCUACUCAAGUAGAAGCAAUGAAGGAGAAAUGCACUCGUUAUGAUGCCCUUGAAGCUCAAGUUCAAUUAAUGCAGAGGAUGUUGACCUGACUGUGCCCAUCAUUUCCCAGUAUGUCUAUGGAUGGUGAUGGUUAUUUUGUAGUGGAUAUCCAAUCUCCCGGUGCUCAGCGCUUAUCAUCUGAUGAUACGCAGUAGGCGAUAUUUUGGGCACCUAUUUUGGAGUAGGCAAUACGCAGUAGAAUGUAUUCUUUUGUGCAGGACAUUCUAUAUAGUUAGAAUGUAUUCUUUUGUGUAGGACAUUGUACAUAGUUGUCUAGAAUGUAUUAUUUUGUGUAUAAAAUUUUAGACAUUUGAGAUGUAAUUAUUGAUAUGGUUUAAUUAAAUAUAUUUAGUUUCUUGAUUUAA